rnacentral:lncRNA from 1 species
UUUUUUCAGAAUCUCCCAAUUUCCCAGAGAAGUCAGCAUGUGACCUAGUCUACUCAAUCAGAAUAAUCCAUCCUCAUGGCUUGGGAUAGGCAGGGAACCCUAGAAGGCUCAAUCAGAUUAUGUCCAGAUUUGCUAUUUAGGUGCUUAGUGAGAAAAUAGGGCCUUCCCUCAUUUGGGGAUCACAAGCUAUAAAGAUAAUUUAGAUUAAAAUUGCUUCCUGUUCCCUUUUCCAGAUGCAUGGGGAAAAGCAUGUGUAAAAGAGAGAAUGAGUCCAAUAUUAGGAAAGAGUCCCAAAUGAAGAGAGAGAUGAGGAUUGACUACAGAGAGACAGGGUCCUGAGGUCUUGGACCCUGAAUCCAGCCAUGCCUGAAACCAAACAAGCCCUGUUCUUUCAUGAACCAAUAAAUUGAUUUUAUUGAAGCCAGUUUUAAGCCAAGUUCAGCUGAGUUUCUCAAGCUUGCAAUGAAACGAGAUCACAUGAAUACAUUUGCCUUCUUAAGAUUUCACAGCAGUUAAUAGCUGCUGUGUCCACUUACAGCUAGUCUGAACUUUAGAGGUUGCCUGGAAAACACUUGCUCAAUUCUAGUCUCUGUUGCUCUUCACCAGGACACUGACCACUUGAGAGCAUGAAUGGCUAGUGCUCCCUCUCUGGCAGAAGCCAGGUGAUAUCAGACCCGUGUCACUGCAUAGCACUGCUUUCAAUGUAUACUUAUUCUUUGGAGAGACUGAGCAUACGUGGUCUUUUCAGACUGAGGAUAAAAUUGCCAGCCCUCUCCUCUUUGUAUCACACCUAUAAUUCAAAUUCUGACCUUUCUCCGGAAACUGGAUGCUGGUUUUUAUUUUCUGUUUGAGGGCUCAAUGCUCAGCUCACACUCAACAAGUCUGAAACAGCACUCAGCACCCUCUGGUGCUAUUGAUGGCAGUCCUACUAUGCCGGUCACCUGCCCUAAAGCAGUUCAGGAGAGGCCAACUCAAAAUAUGUCCCUUUGGUGUAUCAGUUACUUUUUGCUGGAGGCCCUUGAGAAAGAUGCAAGAAGAGCUUUCUGACCUUCCACCUUUCUUACCUAAGAAGAUAAUGUCCCCUGAUCUAGGGCCUCUCCCUGUGCCAGUAAGAGAAGAGCAUCCUUAUCCACAAAGAUUGGGGAUCAACUCUGACAUGGAUCUGUAUGAAUUUACUAAAAUGGCCCUCAUCUUGCACAAUCCCCCAUAUAUUACCUAGUGACUUCCCCACAAUUUCUUAGGACCAGUGUGGCAUCCUUGUUAUGGUGGUUGAAGGUAGAGGAGAAAACAGCUUUCUUUCUCUUUUCCCACAGCAGGGAAUCAGACAACCGCAACAUUAGCUUCCCCAGUUUCCCUUGCAGCUAUGCAUGACUUGAGUUCUGGCCAAAGAGAGUAAGGAAGGUGUGACAGGGUGGAAGCUAUGGGAAAGUGUUUUAAAAGUAGGAUGUGCAGGAAUGCUCUCCUUGGGCUUCCUGCCUCCCCCUUUUUCUUCUUUGGGAAUGCACAAGAAUACUCAUGGGCAUAGCAGCCAUCCUGGCACCAUGAGACCCUGAGAAUAAGGAUAUGUUCACAGGAUGGCAGAGAACACAGACAGAAAGAACCCUGUUUCCUUGAUGAUGUCAUCUGACUACCAUGAAGCUGUGGGCUAUUUUUCCCCACACUCCUUAUUGUACAAGACAAAACCAAAAAAACAAAACUCUACUUGAGUAAUGUCAUUAUUAGGUUUCCUAUUGAUUGCAGCUGAAUCAAAUGCUACAGUCAUCUGUUAGGAAUAUUAAGUGUAAUUCUAAAGAAACAGAAUUUUUCUAUAAGCACUUUUUAUAAGGAAUUCAGGGGAUGCUGUAUCAGAAAACCCUCUCCUUUGGCUGUAAGUAUCCAUACUCCUGGAGGCUCUAUUCAGUCUCUUCCUGUCUUGGUUCCCUUUGUCUUCACUUUGUGUUGGAUAAUUAUCAAGUAUAGAUUAGUGAUAUGAUGUAUUGCUAACUGAUGCUUUGUUGUAUAUUACACAUCCCCAAUACUAUUUAAAGUGCAUUUCUUAAGUAUGGGUCAGUGACAUGUACUGUCACUGAUUUGUUGUGGACUUAAGCUAUGUAUCUCCAGCAGGCCUUCAAGUGCCUUGCAGGAUGUGGCUAUAUUUUAUGCUCUCUCUCUCCCAGAGUGCCCAGGCUGGAAAGAAUCGCACAGUGGGUUGGUGCUCAGGCCUGGGACCCUUGUGUUUGAAUCCUGGC